GAUGAAGAACGUAGCGAAAUGCGAUAAGUAAUGUGAAUUGCAGAAUUCAGUGAAUCAUCGAAUCUUUGAACGCACAUUGCGCCCGCCAGUAUUCUGGCGGGCAUGCCUGUCUGAGCGUCAUUUCAACCCUCAAGCCCCCGGGCUUGGUGUUGGGGAUCGGCGUGCCCUCGCGGCGCGCCGUCCCCUAAAUCUAGUGGCGGUCUCGCUGUAGCUUCCUCUGCGUAGUAGCAACACUCGCACUGGAUCGCAGCGCGGCCACGCCGUUAAACCCCCCACUUCUGAAAGUUUGACCUCGGAUCAGGUAGGAAUACCCGCUGAACUUAAGCAUAUCAAUAGCGGAGGA
rnacentral:misc_RNA from 1 species